rnacentral:rRNA from 1 species
GACGUAGGGCGCGAGCGUUGUCCGGAUUUAUUGGGCGUAAAGAGCUCGUAGGCGGCUUGUUGCGUCGACCGUGAAAACCCGCGGCUUAACUGCGGGCUUGCGGUUGAUACGGGCGGGCUGGAGUUCGGUAGGGGAGACUGGAAUUCCUGGUGUAGCGGUGAAAUGCGCAGAUAUCGGGAAGAACACCCGUGGCUAAGGCGGCUCUCUAGUACGGUACUGACGCUGAGACGCGAAAGCGUGGGGAGCGAACAGG